AUGUCAAGGUGUACUAGCUACUCCGAAGUCAUAUUCGGACAAGGAACCACGCUCACAGUUCUGGAUCCCAAUAUAACCAUAACCAAACCCACAGUGACUGUGCUGCGACCUUCACCAAGAGAGUACUGCAACGAUAAAACAACGAGCGUGACUUUGGUGUGUCUGGCCAAGAAGUUCUAUCCCAACCACGUUAAUUUUUCCUGGCAGAUAAACGGGAUUGAAAUAGCCGUCGGAGUUGCUACAGACCUUUACGCUGUACAAGAUCCCAAAACACAGUUCUACAGCAUGUCCAGCAGACUGCUCGUGGAGAAAACAGUUUGGGACGAUCUCAUGAAUAACUUCACUUGCAUUGUUCAUUUUCACAACAGACAAGAAAUAACAAAUUGUAAUGAUACCAUAACAAAACCAAAAGGUACAGUACGCACAUAUAUACAUAAAUACACUGUAAACACAGCUAGAUCAAGCCUUCCCAUCUCUGGCCUUGCUGUAUCUUUUUCUGGACAGUUUUCUGAAGGGUCACCAUCAGUACGACCUGCCUUAAUUAUUUAA